CUGCCUGCCUGCCUGCCUGCUCUGCGUUCAGGGAGGGCCACAGAUGUUUCAAGCAUGACAGGGUAGCAUUCACCACAUUUCUGACUCGUGCCAAGGAGGGGGAGGAGAGGUGAUUAAAUACUGUCUUCAGCAAAGGGCACAGGCUGCUGUUCCAGAGACCUGCCGGCACUGCACAGGAAACCCAAAUCAGCCAAGUCCUCCUGCCAACAAUGAGUCUUCAAUAAAGGAUAUACAGAACAAAAGAAUAAUACACCUCUCCAGAAGUGUUCCGACCAAGGGCAUGGUGUGGUGCCAGAAUGAUAAUCUCUGCGCUUCCAUUUUGUUCAUCAUUACAUUUUUUUGUCUGACAACAUGUUUAUGAUAGUUUCUCUUUCUGAAACAUGUGGAUAUUGGACUCUGAUUAACUGGGCUGCCUGUGCAACAUCUUCUCGUUGAAGGACAUAAGGAUUAAAUAAAUUCUUUAAGUCACCUUA